rnacentral:ncRNA from 1 species
CAAACUUGGAAAUAGCUGGUUCUCUCCGAAAACUAUUUAGGUAGUGCCUCAAGUAUCACCAUCGGGGGUAGAGCACUGUUAUGGCUAGGGGGUCAUUGCGACUUACCAAACCAUUGCAAACUCCGAAUACCGAUGAGUGCGAGCUUGGGAGACAGACGUCGGGUGCUAACGUCCGGCGUCAAGAGGGAAACAACCCAGACCGCCAGCUAAGGUCCCAAAGAUUGGCUAAGUGGAAAACGAAGUGGGAAGGCUAAAACAGUCAGGAUGUUGGCUUAGAAGCAGCCAUCAUUUAAAGAAAGCGUAAUAGCUCACUGAUCGAGUCGUCCUGCGCGGAAGAUGUAACGGGGCUAAGCCAGUCACCGAAGCUGCGGAUAUGUCUUUGACAUAUGGUAGGAGAGCGUUCUGUAAGCCUGCGAAGGUGUCUUGUAAAGGAUGCUGGAGGUAUCAGAAGUGCGAAUGCUGACAUGAGUAGCGAUAAAGAGGGUGAAAAGCCCUCUCGCCGAAAGCCCAAGGUUUCCUGUUCAACGUUCAUCGGAGCAGGGUGAGUCGGCCCCUAAGGCGAGGCAGAGAUGCGUAGCUGAUGGGAAGCAGGUUAAUAUUCCUGCACCGUCGUAUGAUGCGAUGGGGGGACGGAUCGCGGAAGGUUGUCCAGCUGUUGGAAUAGCUGGUUCUUGACUCAUAGAAGGCGCUUAGGCAAAUCCGGGCGCGUAAUUCAAGGGGUUGAGACGUGUGCCCUUGUGGCACGAAGCAAUCGGAAGUGGUUCCAAGAAAAGCCUCUAAGCUUCAGUCAUACGAGACCGUACCGCAAACCGACACAGGUGGGCGAGAUGAGUAUUCUAAGGCGCUUGAGAGAACUCGGGAGAAGGAACUCGGCAAAUUGGUACCGUAACUUCGGGAAAAGGUACGCCUCGGUAGCUUGAUCACUUUACUGUGUGAGGGCGAAAGGGUUGCAAUAAACUGGUGGCUGCGACUGUUUAAUAAAAACACAGCACUCUGCAAACACGAAAGUGGACGUAUAGGGUGUGACGCCUGCCCGGUGCUGGAAGAUUAAAUGAUGGGGUGCAAGCUCUUGAUUGAAGUCCCAGUAAACGGCGGCCGUAACUAUAACGGUCCUAAGGUAGCGAAAUUCCUUGUCGGGUAAGUUCCGACCUGCACGAAUGGCGUAACGAUGGCCACACUGUCUCCUCCCGAGACUCAGCGAAGUUGAAAUGUUUGUGAUGAUGCAAUCUACCCGCGGCUAGACGGAAAGACCCCAUGAACCUUUACUGUAGCUUUGCAUUGGACUUUGAACCAAUCUGUGUAGGAUAGGUGG